CGACUCAACAACUUUUCCUCUGGACAGGUUUUGAUGAAUCUCCCCCUAUGCCACUAUGAUGGGCAUCUACCAGAACUGGUCCUGUGGCUGAAGUAAUAUUUAGGAGGAUGGAAGUGUUUUUAGAUAUUAUGGCUUAUCAUCGCUACUGUUUUAUUCCUUAACAGUUUUCUAUGUGGUGAGCGUAGGAGUGUUUGUGGUGGGCAUUGCCCUGUUUAGGAAAUUUUUCAGAAAGAAAAGCCAAUUUAUGGUAUUUAAGGACCUUGAGUCGGCCUACACCGAUGAUCCGUUGGGAUAUUAUCCAGAUGAGGACUAUGAUUUUUCUAACUGUACCCUCAUGAUGGAGAGUGAGGAGUGAAGCGAAAAGAUCAGCGAACAGCUCUUUAUGCAGAUGGCAGAUAUGAUGGUAUCAAAUGGAUGGUUAAAAGCUGGAUACAAGUACCUGUGCAUUGAUGACUGCUGGCUAGCUACAGCCCGGGAUGAAAAACACAGACUGCAAGCAGAUCCCAUAAGAUUUCCUGGAAGGAUCAAGAAAUUAGCUGAUUAUGUUCACUUCCAUGGAUUACUGCUUGGAAUAUAUCAGGAUCUUGGCAUAAAGACUUGUGCUGGAUAUCCAGGAAGCCAGGGAUUUUAUGAGUUGGAUGCACAAACCUUUGCUGACUGGGGUGUAGAUUUGCUCAAAUUUGAUGGUUGUUAUUAUGAAAAUCUGGAGCAGUUGGAAGAAGGGAGAUAACUUUGACCUGUGGGAAAAGCCCCUUACUGGAGGAUCUCUUGCAGUUUCUGUGACAAAUCGCCAAGAAAUAGGUGGUGCUCGACAAUUCCUUCUGUCACGUGGCAUACUUUGGGAAGGAUUAGCUUGUAAAAACAAGUGUUACAUAACACAGUUGCUUCCCAGACGUUACGAAUAUGGGUACUUCAAUGAAACAUUCAGCUUGCUGCUACCUGUGAACCCCUCAGGCACUGUAUUGUUGAGGGUGGAUUAAUCUUACACUGUUUAAUAAUAAAGGAGCAUGAAAAUCUUAUCAAGGACAGCACUGCAGCUUGGAGAACAAUCGUUGGUGAAUUCAUUGGUGUUGAAGAUCGGUUAAAGGGAUUGUCUAAUAAAACAGACAACCUGUGUAUGGUGUCAAUGUAUAAUAAAGCCAUUUACUAAUAUAAUGUUAUUAGCCAUAGUGCAGAGAUCUUCCAUACCAGCUGUGUUGUCUGGCUUAAGGGCUCGUUCACACAGGUGGAUCCGCCGAUGAUGGACCCCUACAGUGUGUCUCAGAUGUGCCUGCUCGGAGCGGCAAUCUGCCGCUACGAGCAAACAUACUGGUGUAAUGUGUACUCGCACACAUCGCGGCCACUCCCCCUGCUCCCUGAGCUAGGCCAAGAGCAGCUGCGAUCUGUGCGAGUAUACUGCGCGGCGACUCGCACAUCGCAGUGUGUCUGCUCGUAGUGGCGGAUGGUCGCUCCAAGCAGGCACAUCUGAGACACACUGUAGGGGUCCAUCAUCGGUGGAUGCACAAUGUAAAAUACGCUGUGGAUCUGCCUGUGUGAACGAGCCCUAAAGCUGUGCCAUCAUGUCAAAGACUCUAAAGGUAAAGCUCCCGUCCCUGCUUCCCCCUCGCCUCUUGUCUGCUCAGGACAAGACCAGUGAUGUGGAGGGAGGCCGGAAGGGGGUGGUGAUAUUUGGAGCUUAUAUUACUGUUCAUUGGAUUUAGGGUCACAGUAGUUUCUCUAGCUAAUAAGCAGUAAUGUGUGAUCACAUAUGUGUUCAUAUUACUGGCUGAGCAGGCUAAAGGAAGGGGGAGCUCUGCAUUUAGUAAGUGUGACGUGAUGUUACAGCUCACAAGAGAAAGAUCUGUGGACUAUGACUAUUAAUCAAAAUUUUUAAUAAAGAACUUAUGUUGGGUAACUGAGCCAUAACCACACACAGAUAAAUAGCUGAAAGUGACAGCUAUCGGAAAAAAAUUAUUUUGGCACACAAUGUUAGGUGAAAUGCAUUCCUCCAUUUUGUUUAUUUUUUUUUCCCCAUUCACAAUUUAUACAGAACUCCAAUAGUAAAUGAGGGUCAUUGUAUAUCAUUAUUCCUGUCUCUGUUUUACACUACCUGUGGUUCAGGCAGCAUGAAAUCAUGGGCAGAUUCCCUUCAAUGUGAUUUAGCCUAUUCUAUAUCCUUUAAAACAUGUCUUCAAGGGUAUCCCACUUUGCUUUUUCAAUAGCAGACCAUGAGGGG